UGGCGGAAAAUAUCGAGGAAACCUGUGUCCAUGUGGAAGUGAAAGGAUUCGUGCUUACGACUACAUAGUUGCAUUCUCGAGUAGUCUACAGACAUGGAUUUACAUUUCAUUUUAAUAUUGUGCCUGAGUGUUUGUGGACUGUGCUCGGCAUUCUUUUUAUUUAAAGACAAGGGGAAGCCACUAAUAUUUUGUUACAAAAUAUGCCCUCUGUACUGUUCUAAACAUGCUACCAAGAGAUAUGAUCAUGAUGAAUCUUUUCUAACUUAUCUGCACGACAACCCCUAUGCCAACGAAGAAGUCUUCGCGAAAUACGAUUUUUCUCACUGGAGUUCAAUAACCAAAUCGACCAAAUCACCGACUACGAGUACUACCACAAAACAGCCCACAUAUUUGGAUUACAACCCAUAUUUUGUUGACGACGGAUCUGGAGAUUUUGACCACUUUCCACAUCAUUAUUACGCACACUGGAAUCUAAAAACGCAGCAACCAAGUACCACUGAAGCGCCUAAAACGACCAUGGAACCGCCCGUCUACCUAGAUCACAAUCCAUAUUUCAUCGACGCGCCUGAGAUAGACUAUCACCCCGCACCUCACUUUUGGAAACCCAAACCAACAACAACAACCACUACAACAACAACAACAGAAAAAACCCCGAUUUAUUUAGACCACAAUCCAUACCUUAUCUGGCCCGAUGACGAUUACUAUCCAAGCCAUUAUGGGUGGAAACCGAAGCCAACUUCCACUGCAGCUCCUACUACAACCGAAGAACCUACUUUCAUUUGUCAGGUCUGCAAAGAAAAAUGUAAAGAUAAAUUUUC